rnacentral:rRNA from 1 species
AGUGAACGCUGGCGGUAGGCCUAACACAUGCAAGUCGAACGGCAGCACGGUAAGAGCUUGCUCUUACGGGUGGCGAGUGGCGGACGGGUGAGGAAUACAUCGGAAUCUACUUUUUCGUGGGGGAUAACGUAGGGAAACUUACGCUAAUACCGCAUACGACCUACGGGUGAAAGCAGGGGAUCUUCGGACCUUGCGCGAUUGAAUGAGCCGAUGUCGGAUUAGCUAGUUGGCGGGGUAAAGGCCCACCAAGGCGACGAUCCGUAGCUGGUCUGAGAGGAUGAUCAGCCACACUGGAACUGAGACACGGUCCAGACUCCUACGGGAGGCAGCAGUGGGGAAUAUUGGACAAUGGGCGCAAGCCUGAUCCAGCCAUACCGCGUGGGUGAAGAAGGCCUUCGGGUUGUAAAGCCCUUUUGUUGGGAAAGAAAAGCAGCAGGUUAAUACCCCGCUGUUCUGACGGUACCCAAAGAAUAAACACCGGCUAACUUCGU